GACGAACGCUGGCGGCGUGCUUAACACAUGCAAGUCGAACGAAGUGGCGAACGGGUGAGUAAUACGUGAGUAACCUGCCCUCCUUUUUGGGAUAAGCCUUGGAAACGAUAGCUAAUACCGCAUACUGUGAGAUGGACCUGCGUUGUAUUAGCUAGUUGGUGAGGUAAAGGCUCACCAAGGCGACGAUACAUAGCCGACCUGAGAGGGUGAUCGGCCACAUUGGGACUGAGAUACGGCCCAGACUCCUACGGGAGGCAGCAGUGGGGGAUAUUGCACAAUGGGCGAAAGCCUGAUGCAGCGACGCCGCGUGGGGGAUGAAGGCUUUCGGGUUGUAAACCUCUUUCGCUAUCGAACGGGUAGGUGGAGAAGAAGCGCCGGCUAACUACGUGCCAGCAGCCGCGGUAAUUC
rnacentral:rRNA from 1 species